AGUAAUAGAUUCAGACAGAAGUAAACAAAAGUCAAAGUUGUGUUACUAUAAAUGUGGCUGAUUUUGUUUUUUCUUUCGGCUAAGCUCAGCUCAGGAUGCUUUCUCGUAUUCUCGUCUUACUAAGGCCAUUCCAUUUCUUCCUCAACUUAACUCGUGUUCGAGGUAGGAUUCGCAUGAUUUGUGAGUUUGGCUUUCAAUAUCAUUUUAUUAAAGGUAAAAGCGAGUUUAAACAUAAAAGUAUGAUAUCUUUGAAUUCCGACAGUUAUGUUGUUAAAUGUGAAAUUAAAAUUUUAUAUAUGAUCUGACAUAAACUUAUGAAA